CAGGUAUUACCUCCAUCCCAAAGUUCUUGUCUUAGAUUUAUCUAGAUAUGGAUGUAUCAAGUUAGUGUUAGAUACAUCCACAUCUGUAUCUAGACAAAUCUAAGACAAGAACUUUGGGACGGAGGGAGUACAUA
rfam:Triticum aestivum genome assembly, contig: Triticum_aestivum_CS42_TGACv1_scaffold_328405_4BS